rnacentral:rRNA from 1 species
GAUGAACGCUAGCUACAGGCUUAACACAUGCAAGUCGAGGGGUAACGAGAGGAAAGCUUGCUUUCCUUGUCGACGACCGGCGCACGGGUGAGUAACGCGUAUCCAACCUGCCCCCAACUAGGGAAUAACCUUGCGAAAGUAAGACUAAUACCCUAUAAUUUCCUCAGAUGUCAUCUGACGAGGAAUAAAGAUUUAUCGGUUGUGGAUGGGGAUGCGUCUGAUUAGCUUGUUGGCGGGGUAACGGCCCACCAAGGCAACGAUCAGUAGGGGUUCUGAGAGGAAGGUCCCCCACAUUGGAACUGAGACACGGUCCAAACUCCUACGGGAGGCAGCAGUGAGUAACAUUGGUCAAUGGGCGGAAGCCUGAACCAGCCAAGUAGCGUGCAGGAUGACGGCCCUAUGGGUUGUAAACUGCUCUUAUACAGGAAUAAAGUUAGCCACGUGUGGUUAUUUGUAGGUACUGUAUGAAUAAGGACCGGCUAAUUCCGUGCCAGCAGCCGCAGUAA